AUAUAUCAACCUUCUCUUGUUUGAGUUGUUUGGAUGUGGGGGUUUGCUGGACUCUUAAAUGAAUCAGCUCCCCUGAAAUGCAUUAGCAGAACAACCUGUUCAUUGGCGUGAUAAUUAUCUAUGCUAUUGAAAGUGAGGGCAGUUCAGCUUUCUAAUCGUCCUUGGACAAUUUAUCAUUA
rnacentral:misc_RNA from 1 species